rnacentral:rRNA from 1 species
UACGGAGGGUGCAAGCGUUAUCCGGAUUCACUGGGUUUAAAGGGUGCGUAGGCGGAUAAGUAAGUCAGUGGUGAAAUCUCCGAGCUUAACUCGGAAACUGCCGUUGAUACUAUUUGUCUUGAAUAUUGUGGAGGUAAGCGGAAUAUGUCAUGUAGCGGUGAAAUGCUUAGAUAUGACACAGAACACCGAUUGCGAAGGCAGCUAGCUAGACCGACAUUGACGCUGAGGCACGAAAGCGUGGGGAUCAAACAGG